UACGUAGGUGACCAGCGUUGUCCGGAUUUACUGGGCGUAAAGAGCGCGCAGGCGGUCGUUCAAGUCGAGUGUGAAAGCCCCCGGCUCAACUGGGGAGGGUCACUCGAUACUGAUCGACUUGAAGGCAGGAGAGGGAAGCGGAAUUCCCGGUGUAGCGGUGAAAUGCGCAGAUAUCAGGAGGAACACCGGUGGCGAAGGCGGGUUGCUGGGCCGACACUGACGCUGAGUGCGCGAAAGCCAGGGGAGCAAACGGG
rnacentral:rRNA from 1 species